CCGCGAUCUUGGUUGACUGAAGGUUCCUCAGAGGACCCCGGUUCACCACGGAAGCCAAAAAUGAUCUCAGUGACCUUGGAGGAUAUGGCUGUGAACUUCACCCAGGAGGAGUGGGCUUUGCUGGAUCCUUCCCAGAAGAACCUUUACAGAGAUGUGAUGCUGGAGGUCCUCAGAAACCUUGCUUCUAUAGAAAACAGGAGGGAAGACAAGACCACUGAAAAUCAGAUCGAAAAUUCUGGAAGCAAUGUAAGGUAACUGAACUCACAAGAGGAAUUCGUGAGGGAAUCUGAGAACUGUCAUAUAAUUUUUAAAGCAAACAAACUGAAAAAGUAUGCAUAAUAUGAAAUGUAUUUAUUCUUAUAAUAUUUUUUACCAGAAAUAUAUUCUUAGCUGUAACAGAUAUUCAGUCUUUUCUAAGUAUUUGACAUGCAAAAAGUACUAUAAAAUUGCAUAUGUGAAUAUCACUAUUUGGAUAAUAGCCACAGAGAAGCUGUGUUGCAAAGGAUUGUUUCCUUUCAAUCUCUUUA